CAUAUGCUUCUUAUUGCUGAUUUGGUAAUCCAACCCCUCAUCUAAUCAAUAGUUAUGGGCACCAUAACUUCUAUGGUAGGGGCAGGCAAGCUUUUAGCGAUUCUUUUUUUUAAAUUCAGGUGUGUAUGUUGCCGUAUCUGCUUGUGUUAUUUAUACUGCGGUUGCUUUGUAUCGUUGUAUUUGUGCGUAUAUGAGCUAUUAUAUUGUGUUUGUUCAUGAGUAGUUUAUGGUAUUGUGUAGGAUACAUAUGAAUGUGGGCUGUGUAUGGGGGCUGCUUGGGGAAUUGUGUGUGUGGAUGGAUAUGUCACAUUGUGUGUUUGGUAGUGUGUGUAUGUGUGGGGCUGUUUGGGGUAUUGCAUGUGAGAGGCUGCUUGUGGGGUUGUGUGCAUGCAUGUGGAUUGUUAGUGGUGUUGAGUUUGUGGGGAUUGUGUGUGAGCUGUUCAUAUAAUUUGUAUGAGGGGAGGGUUAUUCUGCAUUUCAGUGUAUAUCUAGCAGUGUGGGUGGCUUCCCUGGGUUCCAGUGGGGACCGGGCUGGCCAGGGUACAGGUCAAAGACAGGAGCUGCAACACCAGCUGUGGGCUGCUCUACUACAGUGUGAAUUCCCAUUCACAGGUGCUGGGAGGAAGUGAUCAAUGUCUAAAUUGAGGAUUUGCAGAAAUCUGAAGUUUCACUGGGACUCCUGAUAGGCCAGAGCGUGCUUGGCUCUAGCAGCCUUGAGUGCCGUGCAAAGGCACCUUGAGUGCCUUGUAUGGCACACGUUCCAUAGGUUGCCUACCCUUGUUCUAUGGUGUUCUG